rnacentral:rRNA from 1 species
GACAGAGGGGGCAAGCGUUGCUCGGAAUUACUGGGCGUAAAGGGCGCGUAGGCGGGAUGGCAAGUCGGUCGUGAAAUCCUUCGGCUCAACCGAAGAACGUCGAUCGAUACUGCUGUUCUUGAGGGUUGCAGAGGAGACUGGAAUUCCCGGUGUAGCGGUGAAAUGUGUAGAGAUCAGGAGGAACACCGGUGGCGAAGGCGGCUCUCUGGACCGAUACUGACGCUGAGGCGCGAAAGCCAGGGGAGCAAACGGG